UAAAAGUCUUGUCUUCCUGCGUCCAGUGC
rnacentral:piRNA from 1 species